rnacentral:rRNA from 1 species
UAGUGGCGAACGGGUGAGUAACACGUGGGCAAUCUGCCCUUCACUCUGGGACAAGCCCUGGAAACGGGGUCUAAUACCGGAUAAUACCUGCCUGGGCAUCUGGGUGGGUUAAAAGCUCCGGCGGUGAAGGAUGAGCCCGCGGCCUAUCAGCUUGUUGGUGAGGUAGUGGCUCACCAAGGCGACGACGGGUAGCCGGCCUGAGAGGGCGACCGGCCACACUGGGACUGAGACACGGCCCAGACUCCUACGGGAGGCAGCAGUGGGGAAUAUUGCACAAUGGGCGAAAGCCUGAUGCAGCGACGCCGCGUGAGGGAUGACGGCCUUCGGGUUGUAAACCUCUUUCAGCAGGGAAGAAGCGAGAGUGACGGUACCUGCAGAAGAAGCGCCGGCUAACUACGUGCCAGCAGCCGCGGUAAUACGUAGGGCGCAAGCGUUGUCCGGAAUUAUUGGGCGUAAAGAGCUCGUAGGCGGCUUGUCACGUCGGGUGUGAAAGCCCGGGGCUUAACCCCGGGUCUGCAUUCGAUACGGGCUAGCUAGAGUGUGG